CCUACGGGUGGCUGCAGUGGGGAAUAUUGGACAAUGGGCGAAAGCCUGAUCCAGCCAUGCCGCGUGUGUGAAGAAGGCCUUCGGGUUGUAAAGCACUUUCAGUGGGGAAGAAAGCCUUGGGGCUAAUACCCUCGAGGAAGGACAUCACCCACAGAAGAAGCACCGGCUAACUCCGUGCCAGCAGCCGCGGUAAUACGGAGGGUGCGAGCGUUAAUCGAAUUACUGGGCGUAAAGCGCGCGUAGGCGGUCUGAUAAGCCGGUUGUGAAAGCCCCGGGCUCAACCUGGGAACGGCAUCCGGAACUGUCAGGCUAGAGUGCAGGAGAGGAAGGUAGAAUUCCCGGUGUAGCGGUGAAAUGCGUAGAGAUCGGGAGGAAUACCAGUGGCGAAGGCGGCCUUCUGGACUGACACUGACGCUGAGGUGCGAAAGCGUGGGUAGCAAACAGGAUUAGAUACCCCGGUAGUC
rnacentral:rRNA from 1 species